AGAUUGAACGCUGGCGGCAGGCCUAACACAUGCAAGUCGAGCGGUAGAGAGGUGCUUGCACCUCUUGAGAGCGGCGGACGGGUGAGUAAUGCCUAGGAAUCUGCCUAGUGGUGGGGGAUAACGUUCGGAAACGGACGCUAAUACCGCAUACGCCCUACGGGAGAAAGCGGGGGACCUUCGGGCCUCGCGCCAUUAGAUGAGCCUAGGUCGGAUUAGCUAGUUGGUGAGGUAAUGGCCCACCAAGGCGACGAUCCGUAACUGGUCUGAGAGGAUGAUCAGUCACACUGGAACUGAGACACGGUCCAGACUCCUACGGGAGGCAGCAGUGGGGAAUAUUGGACAAUGGGCGAAACCCUGAUCCAGCCAUGCCGCGUGUGUGAAGAAGGCCUUGGUUGUAAAGCACUUUUUGUACGGGAAGAAAAGCAAUAGAUUAAUACCCGGUUGUCAUGAACGGUACCGUAAGAAUAAGCAACCGGCUAACUCGUAGCCAGCAGCCGCGGUAAU
rnacentral:rRNA from 1 species